rnacentral:rRNA from 1 species
UACGUAGGGGGCUAGCGUUGUUCGGAAUUACUGGGCGUAAAGCGCACGUAGGCGGUUUUGCAAGUCAGAGGUGAAAGCCCGGGGCUCAACCCCGGAAUUGCCUUUGAGACUGCAUCGCUAGAAUUGUGGAGAGGUAAGUGGAAUUCCGAGUGUAGAGGUGAAAUUCGUAGAUAUUCGGAAGAACACCAGUGGCGAAGGCGACUUACUGGACACAUAUUGACGCUGAGGUGCGAAAGCGUGGGGAGCAAACAGG